rnacentral:lncRNA from 1 species
AAGAUUUUCCAGAAAUCUUUCCCUUUUUCAACAAAAGAUCUCUUUUCCCAAAAUUUCUCCCUCCCAGGUGAAUUGCCAUUUUUUUUAACUUUCUCUUUCCUUCUUUAAGAUCUUGCUCUCUUUCUCAAUACACAGAGAGUGCACCUCAAUUUUUUUUAAAACUCUUGCCUGCCACCAUUACUGACGACCUCGGGUCCUCAGAGCGGCUCUUUUAGCCGUUCAAAUUUCAAAUCUCACAAGAUGAACCCUACUUCUUCACCUAUAAAUACUACCGCAAAACUCCAGCCUCACCAAGCGGGGAAUGAUCAGAAAAAUCCCUACAAAAUUCAGUUUAUAUCAUACUCAGUUUAUUCUUUUAAUCUCAAGCUUUACAAUCUGUGGAAAACUCCUCAAUAUUUAGUCUUCAUUAUUACAUUCUCCAUGACUAAGGAGUGGUAGAUCUGACCUUUAAAGCUCCUAGUUCACUGCCCUGUGGAAGGUAAUACUUCAGCCCCUUCCUAAUCUUCUUUAUGCUUAUUUAGAAAUUCAUGUCAUAUGUCUGUUCAUCUUGUCCAAGAAACCGAAAAUAAAAUUUGCUACAGUUGAGUAGUUUCAUAUGAAGAAAAGCAAUCUAUUAGUCCCCCAUCUUCUUUGUGUAUGAAUCUGUCUUCGAGUAAUACAACGACUAUCAUGUAAAAAAUUAUAGUCGUUGCCAUUAGUCAGAUAUAGAAAAACAUGCUUUAGGUGUUUCUUACUGUUUUUAUUUGGAAAAAUAUUUGGUGCUUAGAAAUUUUUGCUCCUAAAUAUUUUUAACUCUUUUCAAAGCCCAUGUGAUUGUAGCAUUUAAGAAAAUCUUAUAUGGUUUGGAGGAUAUCUAUCAGGAGGUCUCAUUUUGAAAUUUAUAUUCCGGUAGGGGGGGGGACNNNNNNNNNNNNNNNNNNNNNNNNNUAGAUCUGACCCUUUAAGCUCCCUAGUUCACUGCCCUGUGGAAGGUAAUACUUCAGCCCCUUCCUAAUCUUCUUUAUGCUUAUUUAGAAAUUCAUGUCAUAUGUCUGUUCAUCUUGUCCAAGAAACCGAAAAUAAAAUUUGCUACAGUUGAGUAGUUUCAUAUGAAGAAAAGCAAUCUAUUAGUCCCCCAUCUUCUUUGUGUAUGAAUCUGUCUUCGAGUAAUACAACGACUAUCAUGUAAAAAAUUAUAGUCGUUGCCAUUAGUCAGAUAUAGAAAACAUGCUUUAGGUGUUUCUUACUGUUUUUAUUUGGAAAAUAUUUGUGCUUAGAAAUUUUGCUCCUAAAUAUUUUUAACUCUUUCAAGCCCAUGUGAUUGUAGCAUUUAAGAAAUCUUAUAUGUUUGAGAUAUCUAUCAGAGUCUCAUUUAGAAAUUAUAUUCGUAGGGGACUAAAUCUCAUGCUUUAUGUAAUAUUUUUAUUGUUAUUCACUUUGUGAGAAUUAGGUUACAGUAAUCAUUUGUCUUAUUUAAUACAUAAUGUUUGUGAAGCUAAGUCAAAGUUCUAUCAAGCUUGAACUUCUUCAAUGGAACCAUUUCUGAUGCUUUUGUAAAUCAAUGAUUAAUACGAAGUUUUAAAUAAAGUUGUGAUUCCCGUUUUAUUUGACUAGAUAUAAAUAGUAGUGAUACCUAGAUGCAUUUCUUAAUUCCUUUACAUGUGAACAUUGUUUCUAAUUUUGUAUUGUAAAUGUGCCAUGUGAACAUCUUUUGCGGUUUAUUUUUGAACCUUCGUUGAUAUUAAGAACGCAUCUCUUCUCUAAUCCUUUCUUUCUUUCACUUUCUUUGUUUUGCAUGACACACUGGAGCGCUCUUGAGUCUGAGUCUUGCUUUAAAACUCGAUGCCGCUGCCGACGAAGAACCCGCAUCCAUAUCUUAGUUCGUGUCGCUCUCUCUUUCAGUCCAUCCGAACAGAAAAAGAAAAGAGAGGCGGGGAAAAAUUAUGAGCAAUCUUUACAAUUCCCUUUUUUUAUUUAUUUAUGACUACUACGUUCUGCUCUUUGGUACAUAUUUUGGACUUGAAUUAUGUGCUAUUUGGUUUGACCCUUGGUUCAGACAAUUAGGGUAGCAUUCAAUUAACUUAAAACUCGUUUGAUGUUUCUGUCUUCUUUAGUUAGGGUACUAAUUAGAUAAGAAGAUGAAUCUAAAAAAUGUUAUCAUUUAAUAAAGGCAAACUUUUCAUUUAAUUAAAUAGCAAAUACCGUAUGGCUUUUCAUAACAGUCACGGAUUACCUCCCAUUAAUUUGGUGUAUUCAUUUAAUGAGAGAAAUUUCGAUUUUUUGAAAAGUCUGUUUUUUUAACACAUCACCUUAGCCUUAAUUAACCUAAGUUUGGCUAAUUAACCGUAGUUAACGGAUCAUAUAGGUGCCUUCAUAACCUUCCCUAUAGGAUUAAUUAGAACCCUUACCUUAGAAUCUCUAAUGUUUAGUAGAUAAUAUAGUUUGGUGGGGACUUUUUAGUUAAUAAUUAAUUCUGGAAUCACCAAUAUGUUCCACUCUAUUUGACCUAUGUUAAAAUGGGGUAUAACAAGUGGUAAAGUCCUUAACGGCAGUGAGUAGGGGCUUAUUAAGAGUCCAAUUAUAGGUGAUGAGAGAAGUAAAUUGGGGGUGGGUGGUCCACAUCGUUUCAAAACGAAAUAUUUUGUCCUGAAUAGCUUUGUGUUUUUUUAGAUUAAGUAAUAACGGGCUAUGAUCAGAGCGCGCUCGAUGGAGAUGAUGAACUGAGGAUUCAGAGAAAAUGGUUAACCAUUCAGAAUUUGCUAAACAUCUAUCUAACCUUUCCAAGAUACGAUGGGAGAUAUUUCUAUUAUUGGACCAAGUAUAUUUACCCCCGGUGUAGCCUAAGUCAAUUAAUUUACAUUGGUUAAGACAAGCCAGGAAGUUAUCACUCCUCCUAUUAUUUAUAUGAAU